rnacentral:rRNA from 1 species
UGAGGAAUCUUCCGCAAUGGGCGAAAGCCUGACGGAGCGACACCGCGUGGAGGAUGACGCGUUUAUUCGUGUAAACUCCUUUUCUCUGGGAAGAUAAUGACGGUACCAGAGGAAUAAGGGACGGCUAACUACGUGCCAGCAGCCGCGGUAAUACGUAGGUCCCGAGCGUUAUCCGGAAUUACUGGGCGUAAAGCGUUCGUAGGCGGACCGUUAGGUUCGGCAUGAAAGACCGGGGCUCAACCCCGUGUUUGUGUCGAAUACCGGCGGUCUUGAAUCCGGGAGAGGUAAGCAGAAUGGUACGAGUAGGGGUGCAAUCCGUUGAUACGUACUGGAAUACCAAAAGCGAAGGCAGCUUACUGGAACGGCAUUGACGCUGAGGAACGAAAGCGUGGGGAGCGAAAA